AGAGUUUGAUCAUGGCUCAGAUUGAACGCUGGCGGCAGGCUUAACACAUGCAAGUCGAGCGGGGGAGAUUGCUUCGGUAAUUGACCUAGCGGCGGACGGGUGAGUAAUACUUAGGAAUCUGCCUAUUAAUGGGGGACAACAUCUCGAAAGGGAUGCUAAUACCGCAUACGCCCUACGGGGGAAAGCAGGGGAUCACUUGUGACCUUGCGUUAAUAGAUGAGCCUAAGUCGGAUUAGCUAGUUGGUGGGGUAAAGGCCUACCAAGGCGACGAUCUGUAGCGGGUCUGAGAGGAUGAUCCGCCACACUGGGACUGAGACACGGCCCAGACUCCUACGGGAGGCAGCAGUGGGGAAUAUUGGACAAUGGGGGGAACCCUGAUCCAGCCAUGCCGCGUGUGUGAAGAAGGCCUUAUGGUUGUAAAGCACUUUAAGCGAGGAGGAGGCUCCUGUAGUUAAUACCUACAGAGAGUGGACGUUACUCGCAGAAUAAGCACCGGCUAACUCUGUGCCAGCAGCCGCGGUAAUACAGAGGGUGCGAGCGUUAAUCGGAUUUACUGGGCGUAAAGCGUGCGUAGGCGGCUUUUUAAGUCGGAUGUGAAAUCCCCGAGCUUAACUUGGGAAUUGCAUUCGAUACUGGGAAGCUAGAGUAUGGGAGAGGAUGGUAGAAUUCCAGGUGUAGCGGUGAAAUGCGUAGAGAUCUGGAGGAAUACCGAUGGCGAAGGCAGCCAUCUGGCCUAAUACUGACGCUGAGGUACGAAAGCAUGGGGAGCAAACAGGAUUAGAUACCCCGGUAGUCCAA
rnacentral:rRNA from 1 species